rnacentral:rRNA from 2 species
UGGGGGAUAUUGCACAAUGGAGGAAACUCUGAUGCAGCAACGCCGCGUGAGGGAAGACGGUUUUCGGAUUGUAAACCUCUGUCCUCAGGGACGAUAAUGACGGUACCUGAGGAGGAAGCUCCGGCUAACUACGUGCCAGCAGCCGCGGUAAUACGUAGGGAGCAAGCGUUGUCCGGAUUUACUGGGUGUAAAGGGUGCGUAGGCGGCCCUGCAAGUCAGGCGUGAAAGGCGGAGGCUUAACCUCCGAGCUGCGUUUGAAACUGUGGGGCUUGAGUGGAGCAGAGGCAGGCGGAAUUCCCGGUGUAGCGGUGAAAUGCGUAGAGAUCGGGAGGAACACCAGUGGCGAAGGCGGCCUGCUGGGCUUUAACUGACGCUGAAGCACGAAAGCAUGGGUAGCAAACAGG